rnacentral:lncRNA from 1 species
CACAGCAACAUUUUUCAUAUGAAUGUUUAGAACAAGUUCUUCCUUCCUACACUGUUACAGUACAGAUGUUCGUCGUGCUCGUCGUUGCGAGAAGAGAGAACCAAUCGACCGCGAUUGUUUCCUGUUCUUAGCACAUCGGGGUCGAUGCAUUGACCAGAUAUCAACCUACAUGUACAUGUACAUCACGAGGCUAUGGCCUCUGAGCGAGUGGCACGGUUCAGCUACAAGUGGGGCAUCACCGACUCCUCGUGCUCGGGCCGGUGGAGGUUGUGCAGGAUGUAGAGGGAGGCCGAGGAGAGGAAGAUGCAGACGGAGUAGCUUAGGAGGUCCAGCCCCGUGGUGAUCUUCACCAUCUUGCUCCGCUCGAACAUCUUCACCAGCAGGAUCAUCACGAUGACGUGCCCCACCUUUGUCUUGAGCUCGUCCAGCGACGUGAUCUUCAUCCACU